rnacentral:rRNA from 1 species
UACGUAGGGGGCAAGCGUUGUCCGGAAUUAUUGGGCGUAAAGAGCGUGUAGGCGGUCCGGUAAGUCGGCUGUGAAAGUCCAGGGCUCAACCCUGGGAUGCCGGUCGAUACUGCCGGACUAGAGUUCGGAAGAGGCGAGUGGAAUUCCCGGUGUAGCGGUGAAAUGCGCAGAUAUCGGGAGGAACACCUAUGGCGAAGGCAGCUCGCUGGGACGUUACUGACGCUGAGGCACGAAGGCCCAGGGGGAGCAAAACGGGG